CCUACGGGUGGCAGCAGUGAGGAAUAUUGGUCAAUGGACGAAAGUCUGAACCAGCCAAGUCGCGUGAAGGAUGACUGCCCUCUGGGUUGUAACCUUCUUUUAUAAAGGAGUAAAUCGCGGCACGUGUCCCUUUUUGCCUGUCCUUUAUGCUUACGGCUCCGCCAACUCCGUGCCAGCAGCCGCGGUAAUACGGAGGCUCCGAGCGUUAUCCGGAUGUAUUGGGUUUAACGGGAGCGUAGAUGGGUGAUUAAGUCGGUUGUGAAAGUUUGCGUCUCAACCGUAAAAUUGCAAUUGAUACUGGCAGUCUUGAGUACAGGAGAGGUAGGUGGAAUUCGUGGUGUAGGGGUGAAAUGCGUAGAGAUCACGAAGAA
rnacentral:rRNA from 1 species